rnacentral:lncRNA from 1 species
UGAUACCAAAUAUUACUUUUACAUAACUUAUAAAGUAUUUUGAAAUAACAUGCAAUGUACGUUCAACUUUGACCAGUGAAAUUAAAAGAUCCCUUUUUUUUUUUUUUUUACAAUCGUGCUAGGCUUCUAGAAUGAUAUUCAUAGAUGUUUUACAGAAUGAGUUGUCCACUAUUGAAAAAGGGAAAAUGAUGAAGAAAACUGGAAGUACAAGUCACGUCGUUUGGGAUUAAGAACAACAAGCCAUUGGACCUUAUUUACUAGCCUGUUUUUCAACUGUCAAAACACAAGCCAAGCGACGGUGGCCGGAACGAGCCCACCUAGAAGCCUUCAAUAUCCAGCACAGAAUCAGAACUUCCCUGUUUUCUACAAUACCCAUGGAAACAAUUUCUUCAUUUUUAAUCUUUUUGCAUUUUCUUGCUUGAUUGAGAAUCUGUGAUGGAGAAGGAGAAAUUUAAAAAAAAAUAAAAUAAAAAUAAAAAAACUAAGUCAAUUUCAGAGUUGUGCUUUCCCCACUGAAUUUCCCUGCAAUUUUGGCAAUUGUGGAGUUGGCUAUCCCGAAACAGAGAUGAUGAAGACUUGCUCACCUCGUUAACUCGACCCUCUUUCUACCAUCGUCUCAACCCCAUCAAGCCUCUAAAUCUCAAGGUGCCAUUUAUCUCUCUUUCGGUGGAAAAAUGGGCUUCAGGGUUUUCAGUCUGGUCGGAGGUGUGGCAUCGAUUGGUUAGCUUGCGAUGGAGACAAUGGGUGAGAAGAUGGGCGUAGUCUCUAGACUCUAGGUGAAAUUGGAUUAUUUGGGUGGAGAUGGGGAAAUGUAAUGCGGGUCCCCAAUUUAUCUCACGUUUUGUUCGUUUCUUUUUGUUUUCAAGUUUCUGUAAAACCUCUGUAAAAAUCAUUCUGUACUCCCAGCAUUAUUCUUUUUUUUAAUACUUCUUUGCUCCCUACAUCUCGUCUUUAAGUUUCCCAGACUAUAUUUUAUAAUUAGAUGUCAUGUCAUAUCCCUCCUCCAAAUGUUUGUAUGCUAUAUUGACUUAAAUAUCAUUAUUGAAAAGAUAAAUAUAUAUUUUUUAAUUGUGUAGCAUCGUCGAGUCCAUCAAUCUAAC